rnacentral:rRNA from 1 species
GAUGAACGCUGGCGGCGUGCCUAAUACAUGCAAGUCGAGCGAACAGACGAGGAGCUUGCUCCUUCGACGUUAGCGGCGGACGGGUGAGUAACACGUAGGUAACCUACCUAUAAGACUGGGAUAACUUCGGGAAACCGGAGCUAAUACCGGAUAAUAUUUCGAACCGCAUGGUUCGAUAGUGAAAGAUGGCUUUGCUAUCACUUUUAGAUGGACCUGCGCCGUAUUAGAUAGUUGGUAAGGUAACGGCUUACCAAGGCAACGAUACGUAGCCGACCUGAGAGGGGGAUCGGCCAAACUGGAAGUGAGAAACGGUCAAGACGCCGACGGGAGGAAGAAGAAGGGAAUAUUCCGCAAUGGGCGAAAGCGUGACGGAGCAACGCCGCGUGAGUGAUGAAGGACUUCGGAUCGUAAAAAUCUGUUAUUAGGGAAGAAAAAAAGUGUAAGUAACUGUGCACGUCUUGACGGUAACUAAUCAGAAAGCCACGGCUAACUACGUG